AGAGUUUGAUCCUGGCUCAGAAUCAACGCUGGCGGCGUGCCUAACACAUGCAAGUCGAACGAGAAAGUGGAGCAAUCCAUGAGUAAAGUGGCGCACGGGUGAGUAACACGUGACUAACCUACCCUUGAGUGGGGGAUAACUGAGGGAAACCUUAGCUAAUACCGCAUAAUACCCACGGGUCAAAGGAGCAAUUCGCUCGAGGAGGAGGUCGCGGCCGAUUAGUUAGUUGGCGGGGUAAUGGCCCAUCAAGACGAUGAUCGGUAUCCGGCCUGAGAGGGCGCACGGACACACUGGAACUGAAACACGGUCCAGACUCCUACGGGAGGCAGCAGUGGGGAAUUUUGCGCAAUGGGGGAAACCCUGACGCAGCAACGCCGCGUGGAGGAUGAAGUCCUUCGGGACGUAAACUCCUUUCGAUCGGGACGAUUAUGACGGUACCGGAAGAAGAAGCCCCGGCUAACUUCGUGCCAGCAGCCGCGGUAAUACGAGGGGGGCGAGCGUUGUUCGGAAUUAUUGGGCGUAAAGGGUGCGUAGGCGGUUUGGUAAGUCUUGUGUGAAAUCUAUGGGCUCAACUCAUAGUCUGCACGAGAAACUGCCGGGCUUGAGUGUGGGAGAGGUGAGUGGAAUUUCCGGUGUAGCGGUGAAAUGCGUAGAUAUCGGAAGGAACACCUGUGGCGAAAGCGGCUCACUGGACCACAACUGACGCUGAUGCACGAAAGCUAGGGGAGCAAACAGGAUUAGAUACCCUGGUAGUCCUAGCCCUAAACGAUGACUGCUUGGUGUGACGGGUACCCAAUCCCGCCGUGCCGUAGCUAACGCGUUAAGCAGUCCGCCUGGGGAGUACGGUCGCAAGGCUGAAACUCAAAGGAAUUGACGGGGGCCCGCACAAGCGGUGGAGCAUGUGGUUUAAUUCGACGCAACGCGAAGAACCUUACCUGGGCUCGAAAUGCUAUGGACCGGAAUAGAAAUA
rnacentral:rRNA from 1 species